rnacentral:rRNA from 1 species
GAUGAACGCUGGCGGCGUGCCUAAUACAUGCAAGUCGAGCGAACAGACUAGGAGCUUGCUCCUCUGACGUUAGCGGCGGACGGGUGAGUAACACGUGGAUAACCUACCUAUAAGACUGGUAUAACUUCGGGAAACCGGAGCUAAUACCGUAUAAUAUAUUGAACCGCAUGGUUUAAUAGUGAAAGACGGUUUUGCUGUCGCUUAUAGAUGUAUCCUCGAGACAUUAUCUAGUUGUUAAGGUAACGGCUUACCAAGGCAACGAGGGGUAGCCGCCGUGAGAGCACGACCCGCGCCAUGGGCACGGAGCAACUAGCCAGACGCCGACGGGGGGGUGCAGGCGAGGAUCUUAGGGAAUGGGCGAAAGCCGAACCGAACGACGCCGCGUAAGCGAUGAAGGCCAUUAGGUUGUAAAGCUCUGUCGAGAGGGAACAAGCCGCAAGGUUGAGGGAUCCCUGGAGGAAGCACGGGCUAAGUUCGUG